UGCUUCCCUCGUGAUAUGUUUUGUAAUUGCUGGUUGACUUUAGGGGGAAUCGAGCCGCAAGGGACAUGAAUGCAGAACUGGCACAGAA
rfam:Lupinus angustifolius cultivar Tanjil chromosome LG09, whole genome shotgun sequence.